rnacentral:rRNA from 1 species
AUUGAACGCUGGCGGCAGGCCUAACACAUGCAAGUCGAACGAGUGGCGGACGGGUGAGUAAUGUCUGGGAAACUGCCUGAGGGAGGGGGAUCAACACUGGAAAGGGUAGCUAAUACCGCAUACCCUGGGUUGUGCCCAGAUGGGAUUAGCUAGUAGGUGGGGUAAAGGCUCACCUAGGCGACGAUCCCUAGCUGGUCUGAGAGGAUGACCAGCCACAUUGGAACUGAGACACGGUCCAGACUCCUACGGGAGGCAGCAGUGGGGAAUAUUGCACAAUGGGCGCAAGCCUGAUGCAGCCAUGCCGCGUGUAUGAAGAAGGCCUUCGGGUUGUAAAGUACUUUCAGCGGGGAGGCGUUACCCGCAGAAGAAGCACCGGCUAACUCCGUGCCAGCCGCCGCGGUAAUUC